GGGAACGUGCCUUUAGGUUCGGAAUAGCUCCUGGAAACGGGUGGUAAUGCCGAAUGUGCCCUUCGGGGGAAAGAUUUAUCGCCUUUAGAGCGGCCCGCGUCUGAUUAGCUAGUUGGUUGAGGUAACGGCUCACCAAGGCGACGAUCAGUAGCUGGUCUGAGAGGAUGGCCAGCCACAUUGGGACUGAGACACGGCCCAAACUCCUACGGGAGGCAGCAGUGGGGAAUCUUGCGCAAUGGGCGAAAGCCUGACGCAGCCAUGCCGCGUGAAUGAUGAAGGUCUUAGGAUUGUAAAAUUCUUUCACCGGGGACGAUAAUGACGGUACCCGGAGAAGAAGCCCCGGCUAACUUCGUGCCAGCAGCCGCGGUAAUACGAAGGGGGCUAGCGUUGCUCGGAAUUACUGGGCGUAAAGGGCGCGUAGGCGGACAUUUAAGUCAGGGGUGAAAUCCCAGAGCUCAACUCUGGAACUGCCUUUGAUACUGGGUGUCUUGAGUGUGAGAGAGGUAUGCGGAACUCCGAGU
rnacentral:rRNA from 1 species